CGAGUUUGCGUCUCUCACCUAUUACAGAUGCUCAGUUUUCUCCUUAUGUUGGUGGGAUGGCAUUUUCUCCUACUUCAUCUCCAGGCUACAGUCCUUCAUCUCCAGGAUAUAGUCCAUCAUCGCCUGGAUAUAGUCCUACAUCACCGGGAUACAGUCCUACAUCGCCUGGAUAUAGUCCUACCUCACCUGGAUAUAGCCCUACUUCACCAACUUACAGCCCUAGUUCUCCUGGCUAUAGUCCUACGAGUCCUGCAUAUUCUCCUACAAGUCCAUCCUAUUCACCCACGUCGCCUAGCUACAGCCCCACUUCUCCGAGCUACAGUCCCACCUCCCCAAGCUACAGCCCCACCUCUCCUAGUUACAGCCCCACCUCUCCAAGCUAUAGCCCGACUUCCCCAAGCUAUAGUCCAACUUCGCCAGUUUAUAGCGCUUAUAGCCCCACUUCACCGGCCUAUAGCCCCACCUCACCAUCUUACAGCCCUACAUCCCCUUCUUACAGCCCAACUUCCCCUUCAUACAGCCCAACAUCAC
rnacentral:lncRNA from 1 species